rnacentral:rRNA from 1 species
GAUGAACGCUAGCGGCAGGCCUAACACAUGCAAGUCGAGGGAGAAGCCCUUCGGGGCAGAAACCGGCGCACGGGUGCGUAACGCGUAUGCAACCUACCUUUCACAGGGGGAUAGCCCGAAGAAAUUUGGAUUAAUACCCCAUAAUAUUGUUGGAUGGCAUCAUCUGGCAAUUAAAACUGAGGUGGUGAGAGAUGGGCAUGCGUCCUAUUAGCUAGUUGGAGUGGUAACGGCACCCCAAGGCUACGAUAGGUAGGGGUCCUGAGAGGGAGAUCCCCCACACUGGUACUGAGACAGGGACCAGACUCCUACGGGAGGCAGCAGUGAGGAAUAUUGGUCAAUGGUCGGAAGACUGAACCAGCCAUGCCGCGUGCAGAAAGAAUGCCUUAUGGGUUGUAAACUGCUUUUAUAUGGGAAGAAUAAGGUGUACGUGUACAUUGAUGACGGUACCAUAUGAUAAGCUCG